GGAUCAUUUGGCACUGGUGAGGCUUUUGUUGUUGCUCAGUGAUGAGACAUGGUAGAUGUUACGAAGAAGGAAUAAUAGGUGGGGGUUUGUUUUUCUUAAUGAAAUAGAGGCCUGAGUAGGAUAUCAGCUAGGGGCUUUGACGUCUGGGACUAACUCCAGUCAGUAAAGUUGCGGAAUGCUUGGAAGAGUGAGGCAGGUAGAGUAAAUAGAAGGGGCUAAGGGAGUGCCAGCAGCCGCGGUUAGACUCCGCCCUUCCAAUGAAAGUGUGCAGCUUAAAAGAUGAGUAGCUGAAUGUGGAGGUAAAAGAAGUAGAAAAGAAUUAAAGGUUAAAUUUGGUUGUUUUGAUUGAUCUUUAUGGUGGUGAGUCAUGUAACCGAAUAAAUGGACCAGGAUUAGAUACCCUGUUACUUUUGGUGUAAAGGAUGUAUAACUGCUGGGCGACUACGCCUUAACAGGUAAAAGUCGAAGUGCUUGGCGGUUCAAGAAACCGGCCCCGUGAGACUUGACGGUUAAUCUGAUGAUCCGCAUUAUUCCUUACUUAGCCUUUAUGCUGGUGUAUGGUCGUCGAUAAGUUUAGGUUGUAAGACAGGAGGCUUGAUCCAACGUGUUGGACGAAGUCAGAUCGUUAUGCCGCGAUGGUUAAGGCUUAGUUGAGUCACAUUGAAUAAAUUUUUCGGAAUAUUUAUAGAAAUAUAGGUAGAAAGAAGGAAUGGGAAGUAAUAAAAAAAUAGUUCGUUUUUAUGAAUGGGGAUCUUUUGAGUGUACAAAUCGCCCGUCGUUUCCGAGAUUACUUGGAAUAAGUCGUAACAUAGUAGGGAUACGGGAACGUGUACCCUCGUUAAAG
rnacentral:ncRNA from 1 species